AUCAGGUAUUGUUGGGUUUAAUGUGCUUUUAAGCCUAUUUUAACACGUCAUUUUUAACCCCAUCCAGCAACUGCUCCGAGAAAGACAGCAGAUGGCCAGCCGACCCUUUGCUUCUGUUGAUGUAGCCCUGGAAGUGGGAGCUGAACAAGCGGACUUUCUGAGAGGGCCAUUAGAGGGGGCUCCCAAGCCCAUCGCCAUCGAGCCGUGUGCUGGGAACAGAGCUGCUGUUCUGACUGUGUUUCUUUGUCUACCGAGAGGAUCCUCAGGUGCCCCACCCCCCGGGCAGUCAGGUAGGAUAAGCCAGGAGCCAACAGCAGUUUAGCAAAACUUGUAAACUGAAAAGAAGAAAUAAUGAUAUCAUC
rnacentral:lncRNA from 1 species